rnacentral:lncRNA from 1 species
GCAAUGGAUUAAAUGGCUGUGUGUGUAACUUCAUUGCUAUGAAAUUCCAAGACUAAUACAUUUGGAACUUUCACUGGAGGGAAUCUAAAAACGUUUACACUAAAGUAGAAUCGUUUGCCAUUACCAGCCAGGUUGCUGAAAUUUGUGUUUCGGGCAGCAUUGGCUUUUUAUAUGAUUAUGUAAACCGCGUACCUUUAGCUUCAACGGCCGUUUUGAGUGAUGAAUACCUUUCUAAAUAUACUUCCAGUUCCAAACAUUUCAAACAAAGUCAUUUAAUUGGAAUAUAUUUUCAGCAACAUGACAAAGACUACGAACAAGCUUUGUGACGCGUACCCUGCUUCGUAGCAGGAAGCAACAAACUCCAAUUAUUACGUUGAGCACAAUUGGUGGAAAAGCAUAACUACCACUCGCAACGCACCCUACGCAAGGAAAUCAAGAAAAAUAUGUGAUCACACAAUGAGUAUUCACAGAGGUCACCUUAUCGCUGCACAAUAUAAACCCACAGGUAACGAUUUACAUUUCUAUAUACGAAUGCGAUUCCCCAAUUUGUAUCGAUAAACUCUGGACGUUGGAAUCAAUUCGAACGAAAAAUACUCGAAUGGGCAGGAAAAAACUGCCACAGCGCUCCUGUACAUAUUAUUGUUGGCGUUAUACCAUCAACGUACGGAAAAAACGAUCCCAGAUUUGUUGGUGAAGCAGGAUUCAGUAACUAUCGUGGGCCAUCCAGGCUUUUCCCAACUGUGAAGCGGCCCUAUAGAGGAUUCAGCUGCAUGCUGUCAAAUACAAUUAUUUACUAAGAAUACUGCAUUCUAUUCUCCGAUCAGACCCGGUCGUAAACUAGUAAGGUCUGUUAAAUUGAGUGAGUUGUUUCUCGCUCUGCAGGCGGGCUAUGUGGAGCUUUUCCCAGAUGAGGCAAAAUGCACAGACGAUAAACAUUUCCUCAGAUUGUAGAAUAAAACAAAACUGUCAUGACAUGGAUAGAAGCUAUUUGAAUGCACAGCGUACAAAGUGGGUUGCGAGCAUUGGUUCUUGACGUCUCGCCAGUGUAAUUUCAAUUCAAUUGAAAAUGUCGACACAACUAAAUGAUACAAAUGAACUUUUAAUGACGUAUACUUUCAAGCCGUUUUCUCUGUGCUUUCUCAAUAACUUGUCAUUAUCCAAUUGUUUUAGCACUUAAUAUAAAUAGUAAGUCCACGAAGGCUGUGUCAAAGGUGGGACUUGAAUAUGAUACGGGCCAAAGAAGAAAAAGAUUGGUUGAAAGUUUGCUUAAUUUAACGAAGGAGUCGUUUUCACACUUUAACCUGAAUUGGACGUAGGCGAGUUAAACAGAACAUUCCAUUGGGAUGACCAAAAUGAAAACAUGACUGAGAAAAAUAUCCGAAGGAAUCGUUGGUAUCUUGCCUUCUUUAAAUAACCAUUUUAAAAGCUAAAAAUAUUGUAAUCUUUACACAAUUCUUAAUUUUUGUAUAAUUCCUUAUUUUCUGUGUAAUUGUAUAUUGUUGUUGCAUUUCACGGUGUAGUGGUAGAUGACGUGGCAGAUUCGUAAAAUACGAUACGCUUUUUCCGACGAAAAGCUUUUUUCCUGCAAUGCGUCUUCGAUCGCAUAAUUUGUAAAUUUUGUAAAUAUUAAAGUAAAUUUAUUCUUUUGUAUUAAUUCAUAGAUUCAUGAAACAAUUGUUGUAACAUAAUGCAUGUAAUACCAGGUACAUUUUAAUAUUGGUAGUUUUAAGCAAAUGUGUAAAUAAUUUCGCAAUUUUCUUUCGAGAGCGACGAUUUUAUAAUAAACCCUUGAUUGAUUUUCAUGUCAUGUGAAUCACUCAUGAACGUUUUCGUUCAUGGUUUGUCCUCCGAGAGCGCAUGCUCCAAGACCCUACUCAGCUUGUGGAAAUUCACCGCAACAACUCAUUCCGAACGCCACUUACUAUGAGUGCCAAAACAAUCCCUUCAUCUCUGGGACGCGGACGCUGGCGAGAUCAUAUUAUCACGGCCAGACACGCAACUGGCAAGUUCGGCAACCCAGAGCAAAACCAUCAGACGUCGUAUGUUGAACUCAGACAGUCUUAAGACCGAAUACUCUGCGCGUAUAUACAAUCCAAAAAUUCCAUGGAGUACCACGCGUUUUUGACACGUCAUAUCGGGACAGAGUAAAACGCCUAACUACAUGCCAGACCUGCUUGUCCCAGUCAUAAUGACAUGUAUCAAUUAAGAAGUAAUGAUCGAAAACUUUAUUUAAACAAACCAAACACAAACUUUAUGAAAAAUAGCUUUUCAUACCGC